GAUGAACGCUGGCGGCGUGCUUAACACAUGCCAGUCGAACGGAAAGGCCCAAGCUUGCUUGGGUACUCGAGUGGCGAACGGGUGAGUAACACGUGGGUGAUCUGCCCUGCACUUCGGGAUAAGCCUGGGAAACUGGGUCUAAUACCGGAUAGGACCACAUUUUGGAUGGUGUGGUGGAAAGUUUUUCGGUGUGGGAUGAGCUCGCGGCCUAUCAGCUUGUUGGUGGGGUAAUGGCCUACCAAGGCGUCGGCGGGUAGCCGGCCUGAGAGGGUGUACGGCCACAUUGGGACUGAGAUACGGCCCAGACUCCUACGGGAGGCAGCAGUGGGGAAUAUUGCACAAUGGGCGCAAGCCUGAUGCAGCGACGCCGCGUGGGGGAUGACGGCCUUCGGGUUGUAAACUCCUUUCGCUAGGGACGAAGCGUUAUGUGACGGUACCUGGAGAAGAAGCACCGGCUAACUACGUG
rnacentral:rRNA from 1 species